rnacentral:rRNA from 1 species
GACGGAAGGUGCAAGCGUUGCUCGGAAUCACUGGGCGUAAAGGGUGCGUAGGCGGCCGUGCAAGUCUGGCGUGAAAGCCCCGGGCUCAGCCCGGGAAGUGCGCUCGAAACUGCGCGGCUCGAGUGCCGGAGGGGAGAGUGGAAUUCCCGGUGUAGCGGUGAAAUGCGCAGAUAUCGGGAGGAACACCCGUAGCGAAGGCGGCACUCUGGGCCGGUACUGGACGCUGAGGCGCGAAAGCGUGGGGAGCGAACAGG